ACGGGUGAGUAAUGCUUAUCUAACUUGCCAAUUAGUGGGGGAUAACCCUGGGAAACCAGAGCUAAUACCGCAUUUGUUGCUUCGGCAAUGAAAGGGAAUCGCAAGAUUCUCGCUAAUUGAUGGGGAUAAGUCGUAUUAGUUUGUUGGUGGGGUAAUGGCCUACCAAGACUAUGAUGCGUAGCCGGCCUGAGAGGGUGAUCGGCCACAAGGGAACUGAGACACGGUCCCUACUCCCACGGGAGUCAGAAGUGGGGAAUCUGUCGCAAUGGACGAAAGUCUGACGAAGUGAUACUACGUGGAGGACGAAGCAAUAGCGUAAACUCCUUUUGGGACAGGUUAAGCUGUCCAGAAUAAGCCACGACUAACUAUGUGCCAGCAGUCGCGGUAAGACAUAGGUGGCGAACGUUAUCCGGAAUCAUUGGGCGUAAAGGGUGCGUAGAUGGCAUGAUAAGUUAUUAGUGGGAAAUCGAGGCUCAACCUCGUGGAAGCUAGUAAUACUGUUUUGCUUGAGUGCAGAAGAGGUUAACGGAACUCCAUGUGGAGCGGUAAAAUGCGUAGAUAUAUGGAAGAACAUCAAUAACGGCGAAGGCAGUUAACUAUUCUGUUACUGACAUUGAGGCACGAAAGCGUGGGGAGCAAAACGGAUUAGAUACCCGUGUAGUCCACGCCCUAAACGAUGAGUACUAGAUAUUGGGAACUUGAUUCUCAGUGUCGCUAGGUAACCCGGUAAGUACUCCGCCUGGGUAGUACGCUCGCAAGAGUGAAACUCAAAGGAAUUGACGGGGACUCGCACAAGCAGUGGAGCAUGUGGUUUAAUCCGAUACAACGCGUAGAACCUUACCAAGGCUUGACAUGUUGGGCAAAGCUAGGGAAACCUAGUGGAGGUUAUCCUAACACAGGUGCUGCAUGGCCGUCGUCAGUUCGUGCCGUGAGGUGUAUGGUUAAGUCCUAUAACGAACGCAACCCUUGGGCUUAGUUACCAGCAUUCAGUUGGGGACUCUAAGCCGACUGCCCGAGUAAUCUGGGAGGAAGGAAAGGAUGACGUCUGGUCGUC
rnacentral:rRNA from 1 species